rnacentral:rRNA from 1 species
GACAGAGGAUGCAAGCGUUAUCCGGAAUGAUUGGGCGUAAAGCGUCUGUAGGUGGCUUUUAAGUCCGCCGUCAAAUCCUAGGGCUCAACCCUGGACAGGCGGUGGAAACUACCAAGCUGGAGUACGGUAGGGGCAGAGGGAAUUUCCGGUGGAGCGGUGAAAUGCGUAGAGAUCGGAAAGAACACCAACGGCGAAAGCACCCUGCUGGCCGACACUGACACUGAGAGACGGAAAGCUAGGGGAGCGAAUGGG